rnacentral:rRNA from 1 species
CAGUCGCCGCGGUAAUACAGAGGGUGCGAGCGUUAAUCGGAUUUACUGGGCGUAAAGCGUGCGUAGGCGGCUUCUUAAGUCGGAUGUGAAAUCCCUGAGCUUAACUUAGGAAUUGCAUUCGAUACUGGGAAGCUAGAGUAUGGGAGAGGAUGGUAGAAUUCCAGGUGUAGCGGUGAAAUGCGUAGAGAUCUGGAGGAAUACCGGUGGCGAAGGCGGCCCCCUGGACAAAGACUGACGCUCAGGUGCGAAAGCGUGGGGAGCAAACAGGAUUAGAUACCCGGGUAGUCCCUGUCUCUUAUAC